CAUGGCUCAGGAUGAACGCUAGCGGGAGGCCUAACACAUGCAAGCCGAGCGGUAGAGUAUCUUCGGAUACUUGAGAGCGGCGCACGGGUGCGGAACACGUGUGCAACCUGCCUUUAUCUGGGGGAUAGCCUUUCGAAAGGAAGAUUAAUACCCCAUAAUAUAUUUGAUGGCAUCAUUAGAUAUUGAAAACUCCGGUGGAUAGAGAUGGGCACGCGCAAGAUUAGUUAGUUGGUGAGGUAACGGCUCACCAAGGCGAUGAUCUUUAGGGGGCCUGAGAGGGUGAUCCCCCACACUGGUACUGAGACACGGACCAGACUCCUACGGGAGGCAGCAGUGAGGAAUAUUGGACAAUGGGUUAGCGCCUGAUCCAGCCAUCCCGCGUGAAGGACGACGGCCCUAUGGGUUGUAAACUUCUUUUGUAUAGGGAUAAACCUACUCUCGUGAGAGUAGCUGAAGGUACUAUACGAAUAAGCACCGGCUAACUCCGUGCCAGCAGCCGCGGUAAUACGGAGGGUGCAAGCGUUAUCCGGAUUUAUUGGGUUUAAAGGGUCCGUAGGCGGAUCUGUAAGUCAGUGGUGAAAUCUCAUAGCUUAACUAUGAAACUGCCAUUGAUACUGCAGGUCUUGAGUAAAUUUGAAGUGGCUGGAAUAAGUAGUGUAGCGGUGAAAUGCAUAGAUAUUACUUAGAACACCAAUUGCGAAGGCAGGU
rnacentral:rRNA from 2 species